ACCCUUUCAGUCACACACCUAGAAAGAGGCAUCCAAAAAUUAUAAAAUUUGGUAGAUAUGCUUGAGAGAGGUAACUAAAACAAUACGUAACAAAAAAAUACUCCCCCUCCAUCUGUUUUUCUUGUUACCACUUGUACCUCACAAGGUACAUGUUGUCUUUAAGGAUGUUACAAAAGAAAACAAAAUCAACUAAUUAGUAUUUAAUUUAUUCUAAUACUAGAAAUAAAUUUAUUAUUAUCAUC
rnacentral:lncRNA from 1 species